rnacentral:rRNA from 1 species
UACAGAGGUCUCAAGCGUUGUUCGGAUUCAUUGGGCGUAAAGGGUGCGUAGGUGGCUCCGUAAGUCAGGUGGGAAAUUUCGGAGCUUAACUCCGAAACUGCAUUUGAUACUGCGGUGCUUGAGGACUGUAGAGGAGACUGGAAUUCACGGUGUAGCAGUGAAAUGCGUAGAUAUCGUGAGGAAGACCAGUGGCGAAGGCGGGUCUCUGGGCCGAUACUGACGCUGAGGAGCGAAAGCGUGGGGAGCGAACAGG